UUUGUUUUUUUUUAAUUUUGAAAAAGUUUUAUCACUUCAAAAAAUAUCACCUGAUCUAUCUUCUAAAUUAAAAUAAAUUGCUUCGAAUAUGUAUUAUUUAGAUUUAUUUCAAAAUGCACAGGAGAUAGAGGAAUUAUCAGGAAAAACUGUGACUGUUAAGUGAAAAAACAAUGGAAUAUUGUUUAAAAAAGAGAGAGAGAAUAUUACAGGACCUUUCUGUAAAGUCUUUGGACAUAAGAGCAUCUUUGUGUUGCAUAUUCUGCAAUCAAGUUAAAGAAAGAAUAAUAAAAAAAACAUUUUGCAGUGUGUCUGCACAAUGUUUAUCCUUAUAUAACACCCAUAAAUUGCACUACACAGUAACUGGCAGUAUUUAUAGGGUUAACUCAGUGCAGUUUUCUCAUUGCGCCAGCAGAAUUUUUUUGUUUAUUGUUUUCCAAGUGCACUUGAUAACAGAUCGUUUAUACUUACUGGUACUGUUCUGUUGGGAUUAUUACAGAGAUAAAUGGUCAUUUAUCGGAUCCCCUGAUGGUUUGUGAUCAGUUACAAUUUAAAGUUGAUCGUUUUACUAAUAAAUGUCAAAUGAAAGCUGUUUAACUAAAAUAUUGUCCUUGUCCAACUAUCCUUCUUGAGCGAACCUAACGUUACCAGGGCCAGAGAUAAAGCUCAUAUAUGUACACAAAAUUGUAUUUUUUUUUUUUUUUAAGAUUAAGCUUCCUAUUGUAGUAACAGUUCAUACUCACCUUUUUGCUACAUUGAUUCUAGUACGUGUUACACUAAAUUGCAGCUUUUAUGAUUUGAAACCGAUAAAUUAUUCAGCCGUAACUGAAACACAAAUGCUGUAAAACAUGAGUCACAGUUUCAUUUGACCGGUUAACUUAAGUCUGUCACUAAUAUUUCACUGUUAUGUCACCAAUGCUUUACUCAUAAAACAGUAAAGUUUACAGAAAAACAAACUGGUUCAUAUCUGCAUUUGAUCCUUAGAAGCUAAAGUUACAGCUACACAAUAUCACACGUGCCUUAUCACGUCAGUUUUUGUUCAUCAUGAACGCUAUGAGGUAACUGCUACAGCUUAUCUGGACUAACAGCUGCUGGAUGUACAAUAACACUGCAAACAUCUUGUACCAUUAUAGUGUUGGCAGUUUUCUAAAUCUACAUUAAGAUGACUGUGAAGCAUAAAGAAAGACAACAGCUCCCCACUACACUUACAGCAGUGUUCAAUAUAUCUCAAUAAAAACAGUAAAUUACACAACACAAUGAUGUACAAUGCCCAACUCUUGAAUCUCUGCUCUCAGAUCCCAAACUCGUUUAAGCACCUUGUCCAGGCUGAUCCAUCUGACAGCUGUCUGGUAACCAAGGCUACCAUGUUCACUAUCAUCUCCUCCAAAAAGACAACAAACUGUCUGUAAUUCAAUGCUCUUGCCCUGAUGAAGUCAACUACUUUAGCUACAACAUCAGUCACGUGGUUGAUUUUUAGCAUAAACUUACAUAGAACCUCCUGAUGUAUAAUGCAAUGCAAAAAUAUCAGUUUCUGUUCUGGGUUUAUUUUAGUCACUUUAUCUUGCAUCCGUUUCAAAAGUCCAACAUUUUUCCCUGUCAAAUUUGGACAGUCAUCAGUUGUAACACCAACCAAAUUCUCCCAUUUUAGUCCCAGCUUGUUCAUGCAUGUAUUUACCUCAGUGAACCGUCGUGGUUCCCUUCAUUGGCUGCACAGCUGCCAGCUCCUCCGUCAUCUCAAAGGUUUUUGUUAGUCCACGUACAAAGAUGAGUAACUGGGCUGUGUCACGGACAUCACAGCUCUCGUCCAGACCCAAGGAGAAAACGUCAAAAAUGUCCACUUUGUUGUGCAGCUGAAGCUCCAGAUUCUCGGCGCUGCUCUCCGCCCGCCUCGUUACGGUUCGCCUCCUAAGGGCCACAUUAACGAACGCUCCUUUCUUCUCCGGGCAUAUAAACGCUGCAGAGUCCACCAGACAUUCUUUUAUAAACUCUCCAUCAGAGAAUGGUUUACUGUUCUUGGCGAUUUUGUAGGAUAUUAGAAAACUCGUCUUGACUGCUGCAUCCUUUGAUGUGAGCUUUGGUAAAACAAAGUCAUUGCUGCUUUAGCAGUUUAGCUAGCAAACCUUCACAUAUCCUCCCCGCUCUGCAUCAGUCAAAUGUUUGUACUUCUCCGCCAUGUUUGGUCUCGUAAUGUCGACUCAGAUUAUAAUCCUUGAGCACCGCGAUCUGUUCACCACAAACUAGGCCACAACUUUACCUCUGACUUCAGUUUAGAAAUACUUGGAAGUCCGUGCCUUGCUAAAAACUCUGCAUUAGGAAUCAAUCUUUCUUUUUUUGCCGUUGGCUGACAUCUUCCCGGUUGAAGCUGACCAACAAACCAAUCAGCGCAUAAACCUUAUGCUAAGUACGGAAAGCACGCGCGAAAAAACGUUAAUUUAGCAGACCUUUCAAAAUAAAAGCAGUGCCGGCGUAUUGCUUGCAUGUAUUGCGAUGAUAUAUAUUUGCAUUGACUUUUAAUAUUUUCCAGUGCCCUCAUAGGGACCAGUCAGGGUCAUCCGGCGGGCCGGAUGUGGCCCGCGGGCCGUAGGAGGCCCAGGUCUGGUGUAUAGUCACGUGUUUGUCAUUUCUGACGAGAAGAAAUUUAUUCAGCAGAUAAAAAUUUACUAUUAAUCCAAAUUCGCUAAAAUAAAUAAAUGAAUAAGUACAUGAAUAAAUAAUUUUGGAAUAACUGAGUGUGACCUAUGCUUUAGGGCAGGAAGCUCUGCAGUAUUCCGUAUGGCUAAUGCUAAGCUAACUGCUAGCAGCUAAGUUAGAAGACAACUAGGGGUUAAACUCAGAGUAUGGAAAACAAUGAUUAAUAAGACUUUAAAAUAUGACUCUUAGUGGGCAACAAAAGUGAUUAAGAAAAAAAUAUCAGUGGCUCCCUUGUUAAAAUUCAUCAUUAGCAUCUGGUUUAAUUGUGUUUAGUCACUUGUUUGUGUCAUUUCCGGCAAGAAGAAACUUAUUAAUCAGAUAAAAGACACAGAUUUUUAAAAAUGAUUAUGAUUGUUUUAUUAAUAAACAAAUAAAUAAAUAAAUGUUAGGAUUAACUGAACGUGUCUUGCUUUCGCAGGAAGCUCUGCAGCGAUCCGAACGGAACGCGUCCUGAACUUCCUGGGAUGGCUCUCGCGAAUCAUCGGCCACCUUCGGCUUUCCCCGGAGCAGCUCAGUCAGUUAGCUAGCCGAGCUGAUUAGCCCGCUACUACAAGCUAAUGUUUGCGGGGUAUUUAACGUUAGCCGCACCAGAGUGGAUGAUACAAGCGGUAUAGAAACAAUGGCGGACGUCGAGGAGCAAGGAAUUUGUUCCUCGGUCCCCCCGUUGCCUCACCCUUCGUCCCGGAACGGCUCCGGCAGCGGCAACGUUACACCGGUCACCGGCGGCGGGGGCAGCUGCCAGACGGCGACAACCGUUACCUCGGGCCCGCGGCUUGUCCGGAUAGUGAAGUCAGACUCGGGCUACGGCUUCAACGUUCGGGGGCAAGUGAGCGAAGGAGGGCAGCUGCGGAGCAUUAACGGGGAGCUGUACGCGCCGCUGCAGCAUGUCAGCGCCGUCCUGCCGGGAGGAGCCGCCGACAGAGCCGGUAUUUCGAAGGGGGACCGGAUCCUGGAGGUCAACGGGGUGAACGUGGAAGGUGCGACACACAAGCAGGUGGUGGAUCUGAUCCGGGCCGGUGAGAGGGAGCUGGUUCUGGCCGUGCUGUCCGUCCCGCCGCAGGAGGCCGACUGUCUGGAUCCCGGAGACGACGGCUCGGCUCAGUCCUGCUACGACUACUCUGACAAACAGGCCGUCCCCAUCUCCGUUCCCAGCUACAAACACACCGAGCUCAACCAUGAAAAGUUUGUGGUCUACAAUGUGUACAUGGCCGGCAGACAGCUGUGCUCCAAACGCUACCGGGAGUUUGUGAUCCUCCACCAAAACCUGAAGAGGGAGUUUGCCAACUUCACGUUCCCAAAACUGCCCGGAAAAUGGCCUUUUUCUCUGUCGGAGCAGCAGCUGGACGCCCGACGCAGAGGCCUGGAGGAAUACCUGGAGAAAGUGUGCUCUGUUCGGGUAAUCGGAGAAAGUGACAUCAUGCAGGAGUUCCUGUCUGAAUCAGACGAGAACUACAACGGCGUGUCGGACGUGGAGUUGAGAAUAGCCAUGCCCGAUAAAACCACGCUCACCGUCAGAGUUCGCAAAAACUCCACCACAGACCAGGUGUAUCAGGCUGUGGUCAUGAAACUGGGGAUGGACAGUGUGACGGCGAGCUACUUCGCCCUGUUUGAGGUCAUCAACCACACCUUUGUGCGUAAACUGGCCCCCAACGAAUUCCCCCACAAACUGUAUGUACAGAAUUAUACCUCAGCCAUCCCAGGAACCUGCCUCACUCUGCGCAAGUGGCUCUUCACCACAGAAGAAGAGAUUCUGCUCAAUGACAACCAGCUCGCUGUCAGCUACUUCUUUCACCAGGCUGUGGAUGACGUGAAAAAAGGCUUCAUCAAAGCUGAGCAGAAAUCUUACCAGCUGCAGAAGCUGGCAGAGCAGAAGAAGACGUCCAUGUACCUGAGUCUGCUGAGAGGAUGCGAAGGCUACAACGAGAUCAUUUUCCCUCACUGCUCCUGCGACUCGCGGCGUAAAGGCCACGUGAUCACCGCCAUCAGCAUCCACCACUUCAAGCUGCACGCCUGCACCGAGGACGGGACGCUGGAGAACCAGGUGAUUGCAUUCGACUGGGGGGAGAUGCAGCGGUGGGACACUGACGAAGAGGGCAUGGCCUUCUGCUUUGAAUAUGCACGAGGGGAGAAGAAGCCACGCUGGGUCAAGAUAUUCACACCUUAUUUUAACUACAUGCAUGAGUGCUUUGAGAGAGUCUUCUGUGAGCUGAAGUGGAGGAAGGAGGUGGAAGAGGAGGCGACAGACAAGGACAAUAAGAACUGCAGUAAAGAUGAAUAUUUUCCAGCUGCUGAGGCACAGAAGGGAUGGGGACACCUAGGAAGGGAGAUCGUUACCUCUUAACGCCGCCUGGAUCCGACCUCCCCGCCCCAAAAAACACUCCGCUAUUAAUCACACGGACGUCAUUUUACACUCUACACGAGAAGCUACCGCCGACAUGCAAACCAACAAGCAUCCGCUGAAGAACACACCUGAAUAAGCUGAAGCAUUAUUAAAAAAAAUAAAAGACUCGUGAACCAGAACUCUGGAGUCCAGCGCAUCAUCAUCAGGCCGAGCUCUGUCAGGAAGGCGUCUACGGACUGGUGGAACCGCCUUCUUCUUCUUAAUGGAAGUGGAAUGGGACUCGCAAAUGAGGAGGUUUGCAGCCGCCCUUUGAAGUCGACAAAGAAAGCCGGAGUGAAUGAGGAAUAACUGGCAGACUAACGAAGUUAAAGUGAAAGCUGUUGGUGCUCACAAAGGCGACGGCAGAUAACAGUAAUCAGCGACACCGAGGGCCGACCGCAUGAAGACGCUUAGCUUCUCAAUUUACGGAUUAGAGCGGCGCUGUGUCGUGUGUCUGGUCGCGUUAUCUUUGCGAGCAGGGAGCGGCAUCGGCCAUUGAGAAUCGUCUUUUAAUGAGAUCUGGGAGACAAUUACCCAACAGGCAGUGAAAUGGCUGCUGCAUAUCGACCGGCGUCGAGUGUCUCCACUCAGUAAUUAAUCGCUAUUGACUGUUGGUGGUGCUGGAUAUUAUCUGGGAACGUCUGAAUUUUGGAAGGCUAACAUUUCGUCUCCGGAGAUCCGACCUGAGCGCUGACCAGCUUCUUACAAGAACAGGUCGAAGUGUGGAAUAUUAAAGAGAGGCUCAGUCAUGAACUUUACUGUCUCGGAUGGUUUAACUUCUACCUACAGACACGGUGGAGAAGUGACAGCGAUACACAGGCAGCAGUAAGUGAGCAGUUUGUGUGGGAGAAGAAGUGAAGGCAGCUCCAGGAGGCUUCUCGGUUGCUGCAUUAGGUCUGCAGCGGGGUCCUUCGCUUCACGUGUGACUGGGUCGCACCGCUGCUGCUGUCUUGCAGCCUCAGAUUGCAGAGAGGCCCCUCGGCACCGGAGACGGGUUGUUUCAUCUGCAGCCCGCCCUGCCGCUGGUGCAUCCUCCGUUUCCUGCUCUGAACAAACAGCACUGUCAGGACGACGGCAGGUGGAGAUUUAUUACCCUGCAGCUGAGAGGAGUUCAGUAGGCCAUCGGCAUGCACGGACAAUUUCUCAAGCCAAAACAACGGCCUCGGGGCUAAAGGUACGAGCGCCGGCGGUGCCAAGACACCAAUUAGCUAAAUUCAAUCAUAAUAAAGUGUUUGCAUUAUUUCACAGUCAAUCAUUUUAAGUGGGAACGUUCGCCAAGAUCAGUCACAUAAAUCCACAUAAAGACACUCUGAAUAUAUGUCCAGUCACCCCUGGAUGCUGGGCUAAGUACAGUUUAGCAGCAUUCAAGAGGAGGAGGAGGAGGAGGAGGAGGAAUGAGUUCCCUCCACGCCUCCUCUUCCUCCUCUUCCUCUCUCAUUAAUGAGCAAUCAGUUAAAAACUUUAUUGGUCCCUAUUUGCUUUCUCAGCACAUUUUUUUGCUCCCUCCUCUCAACCAAACUCUGCAAAGCCCUCCCUUCCAUCGCUCUUCCUUCCUUCUGCCUCCUUUAUUGCUGCGCUUCAUUACCUCCAUCUUCCACUUUUCUGGCUCUUUUUCUCUUCUCCCCCCUCUUUCGCUGUCCUCAGAGGAGGCAAACCAGAGAAGAGAGAAUUUGAUGCACGCCUGGCGAAUACAAAAGAGCAUUUAUUUCACAAUAUUUACAGCUCAGUCUGUCACAACCCUCCAAGAGUUCUGCAAAAUACAUGUCAUCCUUUACAGGAAGAGUCACAGAGUUGCAUUGUUUUCUUCUAUUUCACAAUAAUAAUAAUAAUUAAAAUAAUGUUCCUCAUCAUGACUAAACAGUGGAUCUAUUACUUUUAUGUGCAGCAACCUUGUAGGGACAAUCACUGGUGUCUUCCAAAUCAGAAAUGGCAGAUGUCAGAGCUCUGCAGAGUGAUGUUUUACAGGAAAUAAAUUGCAAGAGACAGAAAAAUAUUCCAGUGGCAGAUUUCUAGAUAUUUUUCUGUUAUUUUUCUUUCUGCUUCAGAGUGAGCACUGUGAAGCAAACAUGAGUUAAGAGUGAUGCUGAGAUUAAUUCUCAGUCUCAUUGAGCCAAAACACGGGUAAUUUUCAGGAUUUAUUAUUGUGGAAAAGACUUUUCUUCUCUGUGUGUUCAUAAUGAUUUUUUAAUGUCAUGUUAAAUGAAAUUCGAUGUAACUGAAAACUGAAAAAGCAGAGAAAAAACAAACAUCAGUGGUGACAAAAUAUAUGUGCAGGAAACACAAGAUGCCUGGUGGAAAACUGCCUGUCAGUAAUGAGGUUUUAUGUAAAUGAACCCCGUUUGAAUGUAAAUCCUCUGUAUUUGACAUGCAGCACAUCAAUGUCAAGCUGCUGCAUCCCGUGGUUUCACAUCAUGGCAGUAAUAAUACACGGUUAGGAGUCGGGCUUUGCAGUUCUUUCAGUUUCCUUCUUCACAAAACGCUUUUUCUUAUUCACAGUAUGUAGCAGAAGUGAGAACACCAACGUCAAUAUCUUGACGUGAAAUGGUUGAAAAAUUGCAUCAAUGUUUUCUUUUUAUGAACCAAAAACAAACAUUUUGGAAAGACUAGAUUGAAAAUAGAGACCCAGAAGUAGAAAGUCAGCUAAAGUGAAUCCAUCUGUGAUUUCCAACCAGUCUAACAGCAUAAACAUUAUUCUAAAAUGAGCUGUGAACAGCAGAACUUACUCAGUUUGGGGCUUAUGGACUGUGUCUAUGUCUGCAUCAUGGCUCCACAUGGAAAAGAGCUGCCAGAGAAACUGAGAUCUCUUAUUGUGAGACUUCACAUAGAUGCAAAAUGACUCUAGAGAUCAACUAGAAAUCAGUGAAAACACAGUGUCAGCAGUAAUCAGGAGGUAUAGAAGGAGCCAUAGUAGCACUAAUCAGGGCUGCAGUGGUUGUCCUCCUACAAUGACUCCUCAGUGAACUACUUUCACAAUCUAGCUGUGAAAAAGAUGUUUCGGACUUGGCACAGGGGUUGUCAAUGGAAAGCAGAAUUUCUGUGAAGCUCAGACAGUGUGAAGGACGGCGCAUAAUGUCAGCCACAGUGGCUGACUAAAGAAAAAAAGUGAAAAGAAGCGAAUGUUGGAGAACAUUCUUUGGUCAGAUGAAGAUAAAUGAGUUCAGAUGGAGUCCAGCAUGUUUGGUGUGAACCUGACCAGGACUACCACAGUGGAUGAAUAGUCCUGACAGUGAAGCACGGAGGUGGAAGUGUGAUGAUGUGGGGCUGAAUGAGGUCAGAAGGUGUUGAUGACAUUUCUAGAUGAACGUCUGUAGAUGAACCAACACACUGGAUGAUGAGUCCCAGCCUGCAGAAGCUGGAAGAAGAUGGAUAUUCCAGCAUGAGAACCGUCCAAAGCACACACAAAAGAAGUAAAAAGUACUUCACGGACAAGUAUUUUGUUUGCCUGGAAUCCAAUAUAAUGCCUCUGGGGGAUUUUAAAUGGAAGGGCAGAGCAACACAACAUCUCCAGCAAAGAACAGCUGAAAUAAAUAGUCUCUGAAGAAUUAAAGAGCAUCUCUGCAGGACUUUGUAGAACACUGGUAUAUACUAAGUAUUGAAAAAAUAAUGAAAUAACGAAAGGUUUGCUGACAUUUGUUGCAUUGAGGCAAAUAACGUACUGUUCAACUUAAAAGUAACGCAGUUAUUGAGAGACUGAGUCCUUUUACAUUCAAGGUGUUUUGCACUUUGGUCACUUCUGCUGCACACUGUAGAUGUUCAAAAUAAUCACUAUCCCAUGAUUUUACCAGUUAAACCACAAACCAUCAUUAAAACAUUAAUGAAACACUGUAAGGAUGCGUGAGGAUGAUCGAGGCAAGUGUAUCAGGAAUAAAAGAAAACAAAAAAAGAAUGUUUCUGAAUCACAGUCCGCUCGUCGUGUGCCACAGUCCAGUCCGGCUCAUAAAUAGGAAUUAUUUGCUAUUUCAUGUCCCAGUGUCACUGACAACAAUUGUGCUUCCUUCAUCCAUUGACAUCUACAAAGCUCUUGAAUCUCUUUAGUUGCCUCUCAGAGGAAGUCUUUGGACAGCGCUUCUCCAAAGUUGGGUGCAGCCAUGAGGAUAGCGAUGGUGCAGAUGAUGUUGAAGACGCUGAAUCCGACCAAGCAGAGUCGGUCGAUGACGGCUGCAGCGAACUGCCACUGCUCGGCCAAACUCAGCUGCCGGUCCUGCUCACGAACCCGCUCAACUAGAUACUGAACCUCUGCCAGAAGAGCCUGCAACUGGUUGUCCACCGCCACAGAUCGGGCCAUUCCGCUGUUAGAAUAAACAGCAGCUGAUCUACCGACACCAGCCUCUGAACCGCAGGGUCCGGAGGUGGAUGGGUUGGGGUCCGGGCAAACUGGAGGCUCCAGUGGAGGGCUCCCAAACUUUGAAGCUGGGAGGUGGUGGUGUAUCGGUGUAUCUCCAACCGGACCUCCUCCUACUGCUGCUGCUGCUACUUCUCCAUCUCCACCACCAAGUCCACUGUUACUCCUCCCAUGGCUGGUGGUUCUGCACCUCUGCACUGGUUCCAGUUCUGCAGUGGUCUGGAAGCUCUGGAAGCCCAUGUAAGGCAGGUGGCCGUUGGGCUGGGGGUGAGGAUUGGGGCUGGGGUCUCUGUGCACGGGGUUCGGGAGGAUGACCGGCUGGAGGUUGGGCCGGUGGGGCAGCAUGUGGGACAGGGGGUGGUUGAGCUGCACCAGGCUGGCCUGCAGGGAGUUGAGGCUCUGGGGGAGGAUGGAGGGCAGCGGGGUGGGGAUGGUGGUGGUGGUAGUGGUGGUGGUGGUCGGAGAGGACAGGGUCUUACUCUGAGAAUCUGCCUGGCUGCUGGAGAGAGUUGGUUCAGCUCCUUCGCCUGGACGUUUCAUCCGGAGGAACCAAGGAACCCACUGCAGCAGAACCAAGUUCACCUGACAGACAAAGACACAAAAUACAAAUCAGAAAAUGAAGUCACAUAUUCACACAUAAACAGCAUACACCAAUCAGGCAUAACAUUAUGACCAGCUGCCUAGUAUUGUGUUGGUCCCCCUUAUGUGGUCAAAAAUGGUCUGAACCACUGGGUCUGGACCAGAGGACCUCUCAGGGUGUCCUAUGGGGUCUGGAACCAGGACGCUGGCAGUGGAUUCUUUGGGUGUUCUGGGUUGUGCGGGGGGGUCUCUGGGAAUCAAACUUGUUCCACUGCAUCCUGCUGAUGCUCGAUCAGAAUGGGGUCCUGGAAGUUUGGAGGUCAAAUCAACAUCUUGAUUGUCAUGUUCCUCAAGAUGUUCCUGAUUGUUUGAUGUUUUUGCCAUGUGGUGGGGUGCAUUUUCCAGCAGGAUUUCCAUUUGCAUGAAGGAGUGUGCUUGUUCCGGGACAAUGUUUAUUUGGGUGUCUAACUCUCAUCAACACGGAUACCUAAAUCCAAGGUUUUCCAGCAGAACACCACAUAGUACCAAGAUGAUCAAUGUUCUUCACUUCACCUGUUUUAUGUUGUUAGUAGGUUUGUGAUUGUGAGUCUAAGCACUAUAAAUAGACUUCUUUUUUGGUUCUUGAAGAUGUUUCAUUUUCAUUCAAGACGCUUCUUCAGCUCUAACUAAAAGACCACCAAUCUUGAAUCUUGAAGACUGAUCUACAGUUUGUGGCAUCACUGACCUCCAAAACAUUCAGUGUUCUGUUUGUGUUGCUUGUCCGUUCUCCAUCUGCUAUCCUGCUAUCCCCCACCACAACCCACUCAUCCCCACCUCACCCCAACCGGUCGAGGCAGAUGGCUGCCUUCCCUGAUCCUGGUUCUGUCCGAGGUUUUUCUUUCCUUCCUGUUAAAGGGUGUUGUUUUUAGGUUCUUUCCCACCAUCGCUCAUAAAACAUCCAAAGGGAGCAUUGGAUUGUUGGGUUCUCUGUUGGCUUUUUUACAGCCCAAGUGUCACACUGGUUUAACCUUUUUCAGUUUUGUAUGUAAAUUUCUAUGUGCAAGUCCAUUCAUGCUCCUCCCAGCCUGACUUCCACCUCGUAAUAAGCCACACACCUUUGUUUUAAAAUGCUGCCGACCUCCAGUUCAGUUGCAGCUUUUGCGUCUUGUGCAGUUUGCCUACAUGAAUUCUCUCUUGGGUGAAAGCUACUUGUAGUUUGUAGAAAAAGAAGUGUUCGACAUUUGACAGGGAUUUCUGCUUUUUUUUGUACUUUUGUUUUCCAGAUCCAGCAGGUCAGGUGAGUCAGAUUUUCAAUGUCAAGCUUUUAUUUUGUUUCAACUUCUGUGAAGGUUUCAACCCAAUUUUCAAUUAAAUCUAAUAUCCAUUUAAUAGCACUUUUAAAAUCAUUGUAAUCAGUGGUUUUCUACAUGAAUAUUUUGUUCCAUGAAUUUAAAAAAAGUAAAUUAUUUCCUUUUAUAACGAGAAACUCUGAAAAUGUUCUGUGUUUUGGUUCGAUGAGACCUGGGAAUUAAUCUCAGCAUCACUCUUAACAAUCGUGUUUGGUUCGCAGUGCAUACAAUGAAGCAGGAAGCAUAUCACAAAAAUAUCUUCUGUCUAUUGCAAUUUAUUUUCUAUCUAAAAUCAGUCUGCAGCGAUUUGACAUCUGCUGUUUCUGAUUUAUAAGACACUAGUGAUUGUCCCUAGAAGCUUGUGCACCUAAAAGUAAUAGAUCUACUUUUUAUUCAUGGCGAAGAACAUUAUUUUUAGUGUUAUUACGGUGAAAGAGAAGAAAUAAAAUGAAAGGCUUUUUAAAAAACCUGACAUGCGUUCUCACAAACUGAUGUUUGUGCUGAAAAAUAUACCUCGACUGUGACUUUGAAUGUGAAUCAUGACAUGUAUUUUGCAGAACUCUUGGAGACUCAAUUGCCAACAGGUUUGUGAUCGACUCAGCUGUAAAUAUUGUGAAAUAAACACUCUUUUGUAUUCGCCAGGCACUCUCUUAAACUAUGUCUAGAAUGUUAACAUUUCUGUUCUAAAAAGAGUGUAACUCAUCCUUCAGAUGCAGGUGGAUGCUGAGUUAUGUUCUGAUUUAUUCUCUCCUAUAAAUAGGUUUGUGCAGUCCUUGUUGCACUGAACUGCAUGUACAACAUUGCUCAGCUAAUAUUAGGGUUUUUGUUGGGUGUGAAGUAAGACUCCAAUGCAUCAGCCACAUACAGAGGAGGGAGUGUAUGGAACCACUUAUCAGGUACUUGAAGGAAUGCAGGUAGACAAAACAUGUUUGUCCAAAACGAAAGUUCAUGUUUCAAAACGUAACUGGUUAUGGGCGGGUCCUCAGUUUACAACGUAUGGCGUUUCGUCGUUACAUCAGAACUAGUUACGUGGAACUAGUUGGCGAGCAGAGGGGACGAAUAUGUCGUCGCAUGGCACUUUAAGACGGCUUUAUUUACAUUCGCCGGUUGUACGACACCGUGGAUUGUGCUACAUUCGCUAAUUUUUUUGCCCUUCAUUAUGGCUUCCAAGCGUAAGUCGGACUCUUCUGAUGGAAUUCCGACUUGUGGCGAAAAUCAACUUACAUCAGGCCGAAGGAACGGAACUGCAACGUAAGGACCCCAGGGUUGUGGUGAUGGAACUGGAGGACGAUGACUGUAGCCACCACCGACAUCCCAACAAUCACCAUGGUGCUGGCAAAGUACUGACCUGAGAGACACAUGAGGCUGUAAUGACAAUCUGUAUUCCAUAAACACUGUCAGUAACUCACAUACAGAAAUAUGCACAGAAAGCAAAAAAACCCCAACAAACUGACCAAUCAGCGGGACCGAAUCUGAAGUGGCGGGCAUAAUCUCUGCAACCAUCAGCAUGAAGACAGUCAGAGAAAGCAGAACCGUGAUGCCUGGAGGCAGACACAAGACACCAGGGAGACGAGAAGACAGAAGCCUUUAGAGAACAAAGUACACGAGUUACACUUAGUGGAACGGGAUAGUUGGUAUGCUGCACUUGACUUCUUCACCACAAUCAUCCGUCUUACUGACACUCCUCGGAAAAACUUAUUCGAUUUUGCUCGUUCUCAUCUCGCCUCCCGCCUUUUCUGCUUUCGUGUCUCCUGACGCCGUACAAAAGCUCCAACUGAGAGCUUUCCGGUAGUGUUAACAGAGAAAGAUUGCAAGAGAAACAGUGGAGUGGAAUAAGCUCUCACAAGGAGGAAAACACUGCCAGAGAAUGCAUUUUAUCUCAAAAGUCAGAAGCAGAAGCACCUCAUUUUUUUUUUCCAUUUUCCUCAAGCAUGCCCCGUUCUUACUGUCACACAAUCCCCUAUUAUUAUUCCUCACCCAGGCUGAUUUUCUCCCCGGAGUUGGCGGGCAGCAGGAAGACCAGCAGGGUCAUGGAGGACAGCAGCACACAGGGGAUGAGGAGGUUCAGGGCGUAGAACAGCGUUCGCCUUCGCAGCGUUACCACGAAUGUAACGUCAGGAUAAGGCUCAGCACAGCAGUCGUAGAAAACCUCAUGUCGCCCCCCAGGGACCUCUGAGAGGACGAGGAAGGACAGAGAUGCAGCAGAAAUGUUAAAAUAUGACACAGAAAAUAUGGGUGAGAAAGCAAGAAAAUAUAAGACAUGCCUCAUAGUAGAGACUCAGUGCAAUUAACCUUUCAUUACUUUGCAUGUCCACCUUUGUUUUUGAGGACAACCUUCUUCUUCAUCUCUUAGAGGGAUGUUGUCAUCCUUUAAAGACUUUUUUCAGCUGUUUCUUGUCUUUCCCUUUAACAUACCCCAAAGGUGUUCUAUUGGAUUCAAGUCAGGCGUCAAACUUGGUGACAGUGUUUAUCCUUGAGAAGCUUUUGUAUGAUUUCGGUCUUUGGAUGGGUCUCAUGCUGGAAUAUUCCUCUUUUUCCAGCUCCUUGUCAGCCAGUAUUUCGAUUUAUCCAAAGACAUUCAUUGUGCAUCUAUCACCUUUUGCUCUCAUUCAGCCCCACAUCAUCAUACUCCCACCUCCGUGCUUCACUGUCAGGACUAUGCAUCCACUGUGGUAGUCCUGGUCAGGUUCACACCAAACAUGCUGGACUCCAUCUAAGCCCAACUCAUUCAUCUUGGAAAAUGUGCUCCCAACUUUCUUCAGGCUUCUUUUCAUGUCCUUUAGCGAAGUUAAAUCUUGUGCCAAAGGGCGAGCAAGGGUGUUUUUCUUGGACGCCGUCCACCGAGGCUGACAUUAUGCACCGUCCUUCACACUGUCUGGGCCUCAUAGAAAUUCUAAUUUCCACUGAUAAGCCCUGUGCCAAGUUUGAAACAGCUGUUCUCUUUUUUUCAGAUCUAGAUUGUGAAAGUAGUUCACUGUCUGUAAAGUCAUUUUAACACAUUGACCAUUAUAUUGCUCUGAUUAGUGGUACUGUGGGUCUUUCUAGACCUCCUGAUUACUGUUGCAGCUUUGUUUUGGCUUAUCUUCCUGGAUCCUUUUCCAACUUUGUGAAAUCUUAUGAACAGAUUCUUUCAGUUCCUCUGGCGAUUUUAGAAAGACGGAUACAGCAGCCAUGAUUAAUGGUACUACGGCUCCUUCUGUACCUCCUGAUUACUGUUGCUUUGACUGAUUUCUAGUUGCUCAUUGAUCUUCCUGGAUCCUUUUCCAUCUUUGUGGAGUUUCACAGUUGGACUUUUCAGCUUCUCUGGCAUCUAUUUCCAUGUGGAGCCAUGAUGAAGGCAUGCAGAUUGACACAACACAUAGGUUCAAAACUGUGAAGGUUCAGAGCCACGUCCAUGCAGUUAACGGAGGUUAGUUUCAGUGAUCACAGGCUUUCUAACUUGUGUGUAUUUUUCUUAUGUUGCACUGAGUUUCUACUCUGGGGCCUGAAUCUUAUAAUAAAGACCUUCUAAAGUGUUUGAUUGUGUCAUAAAAGGAAAUACUGUUCAACCCAGAAGAAAAAAUGCAAUUAUUGAGAGGUGGUGUAAUUUUGAAUCAUUUAACAUUUAAGUGGUUUUGCUCACUUCUGUUGUUUACUAUAAAGAAUCUCAGAAAGUCAAUAUAACUAAUGAUUUGUAUUCUGGGCCGUGAAAGUCUGGCAUCAUUAAAACAUGUUAUGGAACAGAGCCGAACCAGAGAGAAAGGUCUGGCUUUGUAAAAAAAUUAAAUCGAGGAGUGUUUUCUGCAGAAAUUACAUUGUAUUACUAAACUGUUUUCCCAAUUACACUGUGGGAAUGUUGUAACACUCUGCAGUGUGAGCGCUGUUACUAAGCAACGCGGCCCGUCAUCCAGGGCUCUGACAGCCAGUCAUACCCAGCAGGUCCCACUCUCCGUUUGGCAUGUAUCCGGACACGUCUGCCUCCUUCAUCUGGAUGUCCAGCAGCCAGCCGUCAAACGUCCACGAGCCAAACUUGAGCUCGCAGCGCUGAAUGUCAAACGGAAACCACCUCACGUCCACGCUGCACGUGCUCACAAAUAUCCCUGGAAAUGCAGAAAUAACAAGCCAGGAUGGUUUACAGCCAAAGGAAAACAAAUCAUCUGCAGAUGUAAUGAGGGAGGGAGACUGUUUGGUGCGUCCAUCUGUAAAUGAGGGGAGAAUGGAAAUAUAUGAUUGUAAUGUGAAUGUUUUCUGAAUUAAUUUUCUUCAGUGUGAGUAGCGUUUACACCACCGUUCAAAGGUUCAGGGUCACUUAGAAAUGUCCUUAUUAUUGAAGGAAAAGCCAUUUUUCCAAUGAAGAUAACAUUAAAUAAAUGAUAAAUCUAGUGUAGACAUUGUUAAUGUGGUAAAUGACUAUUGUAGCUGGAAACGGCUGAUUUUUAAUGGAAUAUCUCCAUAGGGGUACAGAGGAACAUUUCCAGCAACCAUCACUCCUGUGUUCUAAUGCUACAUUGUGUUAGCUAAUGGUGUUGAAAGGCUCAUUGAUGAUUAGAAAACCCUUGUGCAGUUAUGUUAGCACAUGGAUAAAAGUAGGAGUUUUCAUGGAGAACAUGGAAUUAUCUGGGUGACCUCAAACUUUUGAACGGUCGUGUUUAUGUUUGGUUUAGAGACUAGAAACGUACCUGGAGGCAGAUACUCACAGAAGCCACUGGAAUUGACCAGAACGUUGGUCUUAAAGGUGGCAUCGAACUUAUCGUGAGCGCUAAAAAAACAGAAACAAUAUUUUUUAGAGAAAAGCUCCGGACCUGGUGGUGUUUAUGUGCGUUCGUUCGUCACACACCUGUUGUAAAGCAAAAUGUCAGGAGUCCAGACCUGGUCGGGGGUGAAACGCAGGUUCUUAACUCCAGGAUACUCAGACUGGUUCCACUGGAGGUAGUGGUCGUACCACUGCUGGGAGACACAAGAACAAGUCUGGUUUUACAUGAGAACACUCACAUAUAACGUUAAUAAUAAAUACAGACACACUGUGGGGAAACUGGAAUAUUUCAGCAGCCGCAGAGCCAAAACAUGUUAAAAUAACAGCCAACAAUAAUCUUUUCCCACAUUUUCAAACCUUUUAUUUACAUGUUUAAAAACAAUGAAAUAACCAAUAAUAUAUAAAAAUAAUAACAUGUCAACAGAUCAACGGAUAAUGUACUCUAUGCUGUAAAAAACAAAAAAAAACAGGAAAAAAAGAAUAUUCUUCAGCUGUGUGCCAAAAACUACUGGAAAAUAACUGCCUCAUUAAAAAAAAGGGAAUUUUCCAUUAAAUUUGUAGCCCUAAGUUGACCAUUGAGUUGACCAUAUAUGCAGAGAAAUGUUACAUUUUGUUUAAAAUCUUAUCCACAUAGUUAAAAAAUGUAGAAAAAAAUAAAAACAAAAGCCACAAUUGAAUUUCAUUCUAAGUGUGUUAUAUGUGUAUUUAUUUAGCUUUUUAUGUUUUAUCUACAGACAGACGGAGAGUUGUUAAAUUAAAAAGAAACUUGCUAAAGUUGUCUUUUUACAUCAAAAAUAUUCACCGUCUGUUUUUGAAUUCUAUUGAUAUUUUGUCAAAAAUCUGGGAAAAAAUACCUAUAAAAUUAAAAAGAAAUUUUAAAAAAAAUUUAACAGCGAUUUUAAUUUUAAUGUUAUAGAAGGAUAUUUAUAUGUGAAAAACGAUAAAAAAUUUUUUAUAUAUAUAAAUAUGGUUAAAUAUUGUUGGAAUACAAGAAAUCAGGCUUGUAUUCUUGCCAAUAUUAGUGAGUUUUAUGGUACAAUUUUAUGUAAUAAAAAUGCUGAAAGAACCUCAUGUUAAUUUAAAUCUUGUCAUAUAAAAUAUGUAAAAAAAAUUAAAUAAAUAAAAUAAAAUAAAAACAGAGUUGACUAUAUAUGCAGAGAAAUUUUACAUUUAGUUUUCAUAAUUUUAUCCACGUUGUUAAAAAAAAUAAAAAAAAACAGAAAUUACUGUAAAACAACUACAAAUACCUAUAAAAUUAAAAGGAAAAAACUAUAUAGAUACAUAUUAUUACUUUCCAUAUUACUGUAUUUUGAUUUUGUACACAAAACUUCUAUCACAUUUCUGCUUUAAUUUACUGGAGUUUAUUGCCAGUUUCAGGGUUUUUUAAGAGACUUCUUAUCUCAGCUGGAGUCUUUUGAGGCCUAAUUGUUGUUUGUGAUUUGUGGCUGUAAAAUAAACCCGACUAGACACCAGA